GAGAUAGGAAGGAGGAGAGAAGGUGCAUUAAAGUUUUUACCCGAUUUGGACCAACACAAAAGAUGCUUAUUUUGACUCAUAGAAUGUUUCCACUUUGAGAUUGGCCUUUGUUUGUUCCAGCCGUGAAUUGCAAUGAGGAAUGGAGGUUUUUGGAGUUUGUUUUCAUUUGUUUUGGCUUACAUGGCACAUUGGAAGAAGCACCUUAAGUAUCUUUCAU
rnacentral:lncRNA from 1 species